rnacentral:lncRNA from 1 species
CACGAUGAUCAAAAUAUGAGAUUUAGAUCACGCUUUGAAGAUUCAAGACAUAAUCCAGUUAAGUUGGAGCUGCCAUAAAGGUUAGUGUUCUGACAAGAUUAUAUCCUUGGUUCUAUUGAAACUUUUCCUCAGACUAAAUUCUAGCAACCGGAGAAGAAGUCUUCGAGUUUGACGACGAUUGAAGGCAAGAAUAACAUGCAAGCAGCCUUAAGCGAGUUCGAGAUGAAAAUUGAUGGCUUUCCGGCGAGAUGGUUUUGGCACCGUUUAGGGGUGGGCACUUCGGUUAUUUUCUCGGUUCGGUUCGGAUUCGGUUCAGUUUGAUUAGUUCGGUUCUAGUAUUUUUCCAACUGAAGUAAACCAUAGUUAGUUUGGUUCGGUUUGUGUUUGGUUCGAUUUGUGUUUGGUUCGGUUUAUAUUUGGUUUGGUUUGUAUUCGGUUCGGUUGGUAUUCGG